AAAAAGACAAAUCCUGGUUUCCGUGUCCAACGUUUGACCGUCCGUCUUAUUUGAAAAAAUUAUGAAAAAAAUUAAAAAGAUAAGUCACGCAUAAAGUAUUAAUCAUGUUUAAUCAUCUAACAACAAUGAAAAUACUAAUUAUAAAAAAAUUUCUUAUAAGACAGACAGUCAAACAUUGGUAUGGAAAUCCAUGGUUUGCCUUUUU
rfam:Oryza barthii chromosome 12, whole genome shotgun sequence.